UUUUCUGACACCGUUGGAAAAUCGCCGCGGGUCAACGGCCGGCGCGUGGUGGUCACGCGCCGGUGACACUUCCCCAAAAUGUGGGGAAUUUUGUUACGGACCCAAUUCCAUCAUCGAUUUUUCCACAUGAGGCCCAGACAGUGCUCAAUCAGGGCCGAAAGACCUAUGCUACUGCAGAUUCUGGCCGUCCGGGCCUGUCUCAAGCUGAACGGAGUUCACGAAAGUCGUUUGCAUCGGUUAUACAGGGUAUAGAUGACUCUUCCACUGCUGGGUUUGCUGCUAAAGAACCCUUUAUACAUAUGGGUGAGCCGACAAUAGUUGACUGAGUCCGAGGAGGCUACACUCGCUGAUCCUUACAAGUAUACACUUGUGGGGAAAUUUCCACAUCGCAAGCCAACCAUGAGGAAGGUACGUGAGAUUUUUUCUAAGUUUGGGUUCCAUGGUUGUUUCGAGGUGGGAUUGAUUGACACAACACACAUUCUUAUACACC
rnacentral:lncRNA from 1 species